GAUGAACGCUGGCGGCGUGCCUAAUACAUGCAAGUCGAGCGAAUGGAUUAAGAGCUUGCUCUUAUGAAGUUAGCGGCGGACGGGUGAGUAACACGUGGGUAACCUGCCCAUAGACUGGGAUAACUCCGGGAAACCGGGGCUAAUACCGGAUAACAUUUUGAACCGCAUGGUUCGAAAUUGAAAGGCGGCUUCGGCUGUCACUUAUGGAUGGACCCGCGUCGCAUUAGCUAGUUGGUGAGGUAACGGCUCACCAAGGCAAUGAUGCGUAGCCGACCUGAGAGGGUGAUCGGCCACACUGGGACUGGGACACGGCCCAGACUCCUACGGGAGGCAGCAGUAGGGAAUCUUCCGCAAUGGACGAAAGUCUGACGGAGCAACGCCGCGUGAGUGAUGAAGGCUUUCGGGUCGUAAAGCUCUGUUGUUAGGGAAGAACAAGUGCUAGUUGAAUAAGCUGGCACCUUGACGGUACCUAACCAGAAAGCCACGGCUAACUACGUGCCAGCCGCCGCAGUAA
rnacentral:rRNA from 1 species